GCUUCUUCAAUGUCCUCUACAAAGUUUUUGGUGCCUUGAAGUUAGUAUGAAGGUAACUGAAUCCGGCUGGUAAAGGAGCCCCAAAUAAAGCAGUGUUGUUUUUUGGGGGGCGCAUGAAUCACGAUGUGAGUCGUGUCCAAAAGGGGGAAUUACCAAUUCCCUGGAGCUCUUUGCUAAAUAUGCAAAUAGAUUUUCUUCCCAUGCCUCCCUGUAAAAGGAAAAAAGAUUGGGUUUGCUGGAUGGCCGGGAUUUCUCCCUAAGAAUUAGCCCUCCGACUCCCCGACCCUGUAACUCUGUGGUUAUGGCGAAGGUGACCACAGAUGGUGGUCUAGAUGCAUGGAAGGGAUCAUUUGACUGAGAACAGUGUAAACCUCAUCCCCUCUAACCGGCUGAAGUAAUGGCAACAAUGGCGUUCACUAUGGUCCUUCUCCACUUCUACCGUGAGAUCUGAAUCCGAGCCAGCAAUCUGUACAAAGCAUCCAGUCGAAGCCAUCAACUGCCUUUUCUCUCAGGAGUGCGACAUGGAUCCAUGUGGAGUGAGCAUGGAGAGAGAUCCCAUCCAAACUUCUCUCAUGCUGCAGGUGUACUGGUAGGAAAAUACAUAAUGGACUGUAAAACACAGUUUUGGCUCAAGUGAGAGAAAAUCGGGACAUUAUCAAGGGCCAUCCACUUUGUGCCACUGGGAGGACGAACUGAAACGCCAGAAGAAUGAAUGCUGGGAGGGAGGAGGGUGGUCAACCAUGCCCGUAAUUAAUUUAGGCUUAUCCAAAAUUGUUCAUUUGGGGUAUCAGGUUAAUUGUAGAGGUCUGCACACUGCGAAAUGUAUAUUACUUUAAACUAGAAAUACAUUGAGAUACCGAUCUUUCCUUAACAUGCCACUCGCAACAAAAGCUCCAGCUGAAAUGUCAUUGCCAGAAUCCAUAAAUGAAAUUGUGUAAUGAAGCAUAUGUGUAACUGUAUGAACCGAAGGUCUAAAGCCAUGGUUUUACAAGGAUUGUAGAACGCAGAAUGAAGGGUUUGAAAUAAUGAAGUGUCUGGUUUUGUGUUGAUUUCCCUUACUUUAAUAGGAGUACAGAACCUUUUGAUAGAAGCUAUAAUCUAAUAUUUAAAUGAAAAUGUAAUGAUAAUUAGCACAGAUUGAGUGCUAAAAAAAAAUGUUUGUGCUUUUCUAAUAACCAAUUUCUGUGCUCAUGCAAGUUACUUAUUGCAGAUAUUGAUGGUGUGGAUUCGUUCAAUUUGGCAGUACGCCCAGACCCUUGUUCUGAGAACGAAAGACCUGUUUCAAGGGCUCAGCUUAGGGAGACGAAGCCUUGUGCAGUAUUGGUCUGUCACAUGCAUGAACUAGUAUUGGUCGGUCACAUGAAUGAAGCAAACGUUAAUGAUGAAUUAAUUAUAAAUGAUGAAUAAGCGAAAUCAUAGAAAUAUAACUGGUCUGCAGAAUAGGGACAGGAACUAAAAGGGACUGCCCCGUUAGAGCUUCUGACAGACGUUCACAAUGGUGCAUCAAGUUUGUUGGAACCGCUCCAGUUAACUGUUGAAGUCAAUCUUAAAUUAUACAUUGAGUGUCCCAUAUGGAAGAAUUUCCACGACAGAACGUUCAAAACAAUAUUGUGACCAAACAUGCAACCCAUGAAUAGGAGGACGGGCUCAUUGUAAUGGCUGGAGCGGAAUAAAUGGAAGUAUCACACAAACAUAUAGAAACCACGUUUGACUCCGUUCCAUCCAUUCCAUUCCAAUGAUCCCGUCCUGCUAUAAAUCCUCCCACCAGUCGCCACUGAUGUAUAGCCUACUUCACUGUGGAAAAAGGGCCACAAUACGUGUCAUGUUAUGAUUUUCAGUUUGCUUCCUUCCAUGACUGGUUUUUGCCUUCUUCUCCCAGGAUCAUAUGGAAAAAUCAUCAAAAACAAUUGCUAUGUUUAUUUACAAUCCCCUUCUCCAAAAGGAUUGCUCAUUUACCUAGCGCUUAUCAAUUUAUAAAUUACAGUUCAUGGAUAUUCUAUCAGAAAAUAUAAAGUAGAUGCUUUGUCUACUUGGAGCCGUCAGGUUCGCUCGACCUUGGGCUCUAUUCAAUCUGUAAAGCUGCUUACAGAUUCCACGCUAUAAAUCUAAAGUGAAUUUCCGAUUGAGCCGACAUAUGCAGCGUUUACCGUGAAUGCAGUCUCUGCUAAAGCAGGAACAUUGCCAUUACAUUUCAGUCACGCUGUAAAGCUGAACUUUUGCAAUGCGGAUUGAAUAUAGCCCCAUUAUUCCUGGUUUCCUCACGCAUAAAGGUGGUGGAAUUAUAAGGGAAUUAAGUCCAGGUCAGAAUAUGGCGUAGCUGUAGCCAUACCUUCGCUACACCUUCAUUUCUGAGAUAUCCACUCCAAACAAAUAGCGGGUGAAUAGUCACUGAGAUGGGGACUAGAGGGUCAAUCUCGCUGAUGUCAAAGAAUGUCUAUUUAUAGCCCUGGUUGCACCUUGCAUUAACAUGUGGUUUUCACGAUCUGAUCAAGAUGAUCCAAUUACUAUCUGUUCAAGGUUCUGUGUCUACUCAUGGUUUUUAAAAUGUCUCUUAUCCUUCCACUGUGUGUAUUGUGACCAGAUUUCCUGGUCCCUCCAUGUAUGAAAAUGAUUUGGCAGUCAGCGGUCAAAAUCCUUUCCAUGCAAUAAUUCAGAGACAAGAUGAUUAAUAAUAAUGACAACAUCAUUCAAUUACCAGACAUGUCAAUCAAUCAUGUAAAAAGAAGUGAGAAAUAUCAUGAAAUAUACGUAAUCACAAUGUUAUUACUAAACAAUGUGAACAUAAAUAUUAGUCCAUCAGUGGUAUUGUAUCUACUGCAUUAUGUACGGUGUUAUGUAGAUCAGAGCAUUCAGAUCGGAGACCCUCGUCACGUACUUUUCACAUUAUAAAUCAAAAAUCAUACAUCCAAACAUUGAGAGAAAAAAGUCCAAACUUCCCAAGUCAUUGUAUCGACAAUUACUAUAUGCCCAUAACAAUGACAUUAAUAGUACAAGGGUCCAAUUCCUUCAAUUAUCUUUCAACCAGCUUAAACUUUAACAUGAACAUUCCCUUUUUCAUUUGUUAAAUCACAAUCACCAAUACGGUCACACUUCCCAUUGACACCAAUGCAGCAGCACAGUUAUCUACGGAGAGAGAAUUUUUUACAACUGGCUAGGACAGAAUACUAUUCAGGGGGGCGGGAAAAAACAAAUCAACUUAAAUUGAUAGGAUUGGUUAGGAUAGACCUAACAACUGCUCCGAAAGACAAAAAUAGAUUAAAAAAAAAUACAAAUUAAUACAUUUCCUGAAAGGCCUUCUCAAUACACACACAUUCAGGAAAUACUGUACACCACUAUUUGAUUAAAACAUCCAUUUGUUGUCCAUUUCAGAAGGCGGCUUACAUUCUCAGCAGCUCCGGGGUAAAACUUCCCCUAGGUACAGAUCUAUAGUAGGAUCGGCUUCCCCUCCCCCAAUCCUAACCUUAAAGGGAUACUUUGGGAUUUUGUCAAUGGGAACCUUUAUCUACUUCUUCCCCAGACUCAGAUGAACUCAAGGAUAGCAUUUGUGUCGCUCUGCGUGCGGUUUGAAGGAAGUUGCUAACUCUAGUUAGCAUUGCCUAGCAGAAACUACCUCCAACUUCGUUCAUACUGGACGCAGAGACCAUUGGUGGGGAAAAUUCUAAACUGACCCUGACCGGCGUCUAGGGGCAACAGCACAAGUAUCCUUCCAGAAUCUGUAGACUACGCAAGUGAAUAUGGAUUUGGAUUUUUAUCUUUCCUUCCCUAAAGUAAUCCCUUCCAUGACCUUCACCGGAUUGUUUGUCCACUCCAGAUUUUAAAAAUAAAGUGAGAAAAACACUGCAAGGGCCUAGAUGGAAACAACUAGUACCUCCCCUACUCACAUUUCCAAUACAAAUACACCGGAAGAGAGAGACUUUGUGAAAUGAAAUCAACAAAAGUAUAAACACACUGCUUGGCCCUAUGCAGUAGCUCUGCAAUCCUUUCCAUUCAUUAAAUCUGAUUAUUUCAGUAUCAUUCUGUUCAUAUAUAAAUAAGGCAAUAGUAAACAUGAUGCACUGCCCUCAUUUGGGCCAAUUGAGAUAAUGCGUGUGACUAAACACAUUUUCGCUUUGGGCCAAUCAGUAUAAUUGAGUAAAUACUGGAUCUCUAUGGCAAGAUACAUCAUUCACCCAAGUUUCAUCAAUACAGGGCCAGUGGCAGUCUGAGAUAUCGCGUCUGACUAACGUAUGAAUGAAAGGACGGACACAGAUCUACAGUCCCCUCUCCAUCGUGGGGUACAAUUAUCUUGGGCAUAUGAAAAGGCUGAACGACACUGUCAACGUGGUUAUACUGUUUCUAUACAAGUAUACAUCACAAUUACUCUGCCUUGCAUACAACACAAAGCGUAAUACAAACUCUCUCCAACCACUAUCAGUUUAACACAUCACCCAACAGUCAGGCAAGCCAGUCUCACCGACUUAUCCCUUUGUGAAUCCUGUCCCUUCGAGUUGUCUUGAACUGAAGCACCUGCAAUUCUCAACCUCCUUGUCCCCACCUCUCACAAACCCCCAUAAUCCUCUGCUCCAUUUGGUGUGAAAUUAACAGAAUGUGUUGACAGGAGAAAGAGAGAGAAAGCAGCUUCAGUCUUGAUAAUGAGCCUGUCGCAGAUGGCUUUGGCCGUGACUCUGUUGCCUGGGGAACAGAACAUCUUCCCUGGGAAAGAUGGAUUGGAAGAGAGGAGGCGAAAGAGUGAGGCAUGGAGGCGUGGAAACAAUGAAAGCUUUCCUCAUCAAUGGAUCAUGACAUGGAGCAAGGACACCAAGUUGACAGUGAACGCUAGGAGGACAAAUUCAGGAGUUGCAUGACUUGCAAGAAGCAGGGCAGGCCUUCAUACACAGGCAAAUAUCUAACACUGGACACAUGCACUUUCCAAAAACAGACACAACCUGGGUCACUUCUCUUUUCAUCAGAAAUAGAUCCAAGUUAGUUUUUUUUUUAACACCUACAUACGGGUAUGUACAUUUAAACAAUGGCUUUACUUCAUCUUUUUUUUUUUUUUGCAGUCUCAUUUGGUAACUAUAAAAAGCGACGUUGUUUCUCGUUGGACAGUCUGCGUGUACGAUUUGGAGUGCCCGAGUCGUGAACUGGAGUCUGAGGGUCUUCUCUUUAGAUAGACAACCUUACAGUUAUAGUCGCAUGUGAUAGCGCAGCUUCUCGAUAAGGCACUGUAAC